rnacentral:tRNA from 1 species
UCCCUGGUGGUCCAGUGGCUAAGCUGCUGCACUCCCAACGCAGGGGACUCAGGUUCGAGCCCUGGUCUGGGAA